rnacentral:lncRNA from 1 species
ACAGUGUAUUUUCAGCAGGUGAAAAAGCUUUUUAUGUUUUGGAUCUUCCGAAAACAUCAGCGAAAGACUGUCCUUGCCAUCCAGACUACAACAAAAACUUUAGGACCUUGAAGUUUGGGUUCAUAAUCUCAUAAAUGAGAAGGGUCCCUCUACACUCUCAGAACUGUACACCCGUUGGAACCCUUAAGAGACCAUCAAGCUUCACAUCAUCAUGCAACAAAGGUUCCAGCCAGUUCCAGGUGAAGACACCACCCCUGGCCAUCAAGAAGCUACCUUGCCUUCACCAGACAGAGCAGGGCCUCUCUGGAUUUCCUGAUUCUGAUUUGGGACAUGCCAAGAUGUGUCAGAAUUUUUGAGUUGGGUGGAAGUAGUGACUAUAUGAAGCAACUACCACUGAAGGACCAGAAAAGAAUAACGACAAUAUUAAAGAAAACAGCCAUCUUGGAGUCCAGUUAUAUUUUAAUAAAAGAUUUGUUCUCUACCAAUGCCCUACACUGCUAACAGGAAACUGCCUUCUGGAUUUGUGGGAAGUUCACCAGCAGGAAGCGCCAGUGGAAAUUGGGAGGGGUAAGAGUAGGGGAGCAACUUAGGUAUCCCACCAUUUGCUGUGGCACCUAGCAUCUCUUCCUGGGCCUCAACUCUGCCAAAUGGCUCCGAUUUUUCAACUCUGAUAGCAAAAUCUGCUUUUUGUCCCUACAGGACUAGCAAGAGUAGUACCUCCUAUUAUUCAUAAUUUUGGGUUUGUUUGGUCCCUUGGCUCUUCCAUCUUCAGUGUAAUCAUUUACCUUCAUUAAAAAUCCUCUAUUUCUAAGACUUUAAAGU